CCUUUCCUUGUCAUGGGGUGAGUGAACUGCUCAAUGAACGGCUAGUGAGAGCAGCCCUGCUAACACCAUAGCGACACAUAGGCAUCACCUGGACUGCAGUCCAGAUCAUGGUGCAAUUUUUGAAACC